rnacentral:lncRNA from 1 species
GAUCUGCUGGCAAAAACAGUUUUUCCAGAGUAGGUGGCAGCCCAGAGGGUGUUGUUUAGAAUGGAAACUCCUCUGGGAAUUGAAGAAACUUCCGAAGCAGUAAUCCUCGAAGCUCUUAAUUGGACCGAAAACGGCAAAGCACCAGACCCUGACGGGUGGCUAAUGCCGUACUCCGCACAGUUGUUGAGGCAAGUCCACGAAAUGUUGUGGAUCUUUUCGAUGCGUGCAUAUUCGAAAGAAUCCUACCCAGCCUAUCGAAGCGAGAACGGCUUUACAACACAAAUGCAACAAGCCGACCGAGGAGCCACCACAGACUCAUCACUAGACACAGAGGGUAAGAUCGUCGAGUGCGCAAUCCACACAAGGCUGCAGGCAGUUUUAACGUGUUAAAACUCUCACCGCCCACAAAACAUAAUCCACAGAAAUAACAGAACUCCACAAUUACCACUAGUUCAAGCCAGAAGUACCUGGGGGUAAAUAUAGAGCAUAGGCUUAGCUUCCAGCAUCACAUGGCAGUAAAGAAAAGGCGGAAGCUCCUAGACAGUUUUCUUAGCUCGAAGCCCAUGUAUGCGGCACCGAUAAGGAAUAAUGCAUUGAGCUAAGAAACAUAUGCUAGUGAAUGCAACGCUGAACAGAGACUGUGCACCCUGAGAGUGUGCUAUGGAUUCAGAACAAUUUCCCAAGUCGCCGCACUAGUGGUAACCGGACCCUAUCCAUAUGCUGGCAACAGAAGCCGCAGGGAUCAGAUAAUGACCUGGAGACCAGAGGUGUCGCUAGGCAACGCUCAGUACGGCAAUGUCAAGGACAGUAGUAUCAAAGGGCGUUGGACGCAUAUGCUAAUCACUGACCUGUUGAGUUGGUCCGAGC